GACGAACGCUGGCGGCGUGCUUAACACAUGCAAGUCGAACGGAGUGGCGAACGGGUGAGUAACACGUGGGUGACCUGCCCUGCACUUCGGGCUAAGCCUGGGAAACUGGGGCUAAUACCGGAUAGUGUGGGAUGGGCCCGCGGCCUAUCAGCUUGUUGGUGGGGUAAUGGCCUACCAAGGCGGCGACGGGUAGACGGUCUGUGAGGGUGGACGGCCACAUUGGGACUGAGACACGGGCCCGUGCGCUACGGGAGGCAGCAGUGGGGAAUAUUGCACGAUGGGCGGAGGCCUGAUGCAGCGACGCCGCGUGGGGGGUGACGGCCUUCGGGUUGUAAACUCCUGUCACCAUCGACGCGGUAGAUGGAGAAGAAGCACCGGCUAACUACGUGCCAGCAGCCGCGGUAAUAC
rnacentral:rRNA from 1 species